GGAGGGUAGAGCUCAGUGGUAGAGUGCAUGCUUAGCAUGCAUGAGGUCCUGGGUUCAAUCCCCAGUACCCCCA
rnacentral:tRNA from 1 species